GUUUACAAGUACACAGAUCAGUGUCUGCACAACACCAGCGGAUCUCAGAGCUGUGGUGAACUUCAUCACAAGAAAAUAAAAAAGCUGAAUUGACAAAGUAAUGAAUGGGAGAACAUAUAUGGAGCAGAAGAAACUACAGAUUCAUGAAACAUGGAAGAGAGCAAGUUAAAAAAAUGGCAUACAAAAUGCUAUUUUCUAAAGAAGCAACGACAUCGAGUCUAUUCAGACAGAACAGCAUUAAUAGCGGCAAACCAAACUUUUCUAACAUGACAGAGAAUCAGAAGAGUCACAGACGACAUGAGAGAUUUACACAACAUCCAGACACCAAACACAGUUACAUCUGUGUAGAUCAGACGCACAAAUCUGUCUUAUACUUGUUCUGGGAAAGUAUUUUUCUUUCAGGAAGCAGCAGUUCUGGUUCUCUAACCAGCAGAAUAUUCUUCAAAUGUAAAGUCCAUGGUUAAAUCAGACAGUAAUACAGUAUUACAGUGUUACUUUCAGUAUAUAAGAAGAAUGUGAAUUAAUAGAUACUAUUUUUAUAAAGUACAUCACUAUAGUUCUGAAUGAAUAUGACAUAAAUAUGACUUUUACAGUAAUGGAUGAUUGAUGGAAUCUGUGUUUCUGCUGUAUGUUACUGUAUAUGUUGUAGAUUUAUAGAAUAAUAAUAAAUAGCUUGUUGUGUUAAUUGUCUUGUUGACUUGUAUUAAUAAUAAAGAUGAAUGUGUUGCUGCA